rnacentral:rRNA from 1 species
GUAGGUGGCAAGCGCUGUCCGGAAUUAUUGGGCGUAAAGCGCGCGCAGGCGGUCCUUUAAGUCUGAUGUGAAAGCCCACGGCUCAACCGUGGAGGGUCAUUGGAAACUGGGGGACUUGAGUACAGAAGAGGAAAGCGGAAUUCCAAGUGUAGCGGUGAAAUGCGUAGAGAUUUGGAGGAUCACCAGUGGCGAAGGCGGCUUUCUGGUCUGUAACUGACGCUGAGGCGCGAAAGCGUGGGGAGCAAACAGGAUUAGAUACCCUGGUAGUCCACGCCGUAAACGAUGAGUGCUAAGUGUUAGGGGGGUUUUCCGCCCCCCUUAGUGCUGCAGCUAACGCAUUAAGCACUCCGCCUGGGAGUACGGCCGCAAGGCUG